rnacentral:rRNA from 1 species
AAUAGAUACCCCGGUAGUCCACGCCGUAAACGAUGGAUACUAGCUGUUGGAGGUAUCGACCCCUUCAGUAGCGAAGCUAACGCGUUAAGUAUCCCGCCUGUGGAGUACGGUCGCAAGACUAAAACAUAAAGGAAUUGACGGGGACCCGCACAAGCGGUGGAUCGUGUUCUUUAAUUCGAUGCUAAACGAAGAACCUUACCAGGGUUUGACAUCCCUUGAAUUAAUCCGAAAGGAUUGAGUGCUUUAUUGAACAAGGUGGCAGGUGAUGCAUGGCCGUCGUCAGCUCGUGUCGUGAGAUGUUUGGUUAAGUCCAUCAACGAGCGCAACCCUUGCAAGUAGUUGUAUUUUUCUACUUGGACUGCCCCGGUAACGGGGAGGAAGGAGGGGAUGAUGUCAGGUCAGUAUUUCCCUUACAUCCUGGGCUAGAAACACGAUACAAUGGCUAGUACAAUGCGCAGCGAAGCCGCGAGGUGAAGCAAAUCGCAUCAAAGCUAGUCCCAGUUCGGAUUGGAGGCUGAAACUCGCCUCCAUGAAGUCGG